rnacentral:rRNA from 1 species
GACGAACGCUGGCGGCGUGCUUAACACAUGCAAGUCGAACGGAAAGGCCCCUUUGGGGGUACUCGAGUGGCGAACGGGUGAGUAACACGUGAGUAACCUGCCCUUGACUUCGGGAUAACUUCAGGAAACUGGGGCUAAUACCGGAUAGGAAUCCUUGCUGCAUGGUGGGGGUUGGAAAGCUUCGGCGGUUUUGGAUGGACUCGCGGCUUAUCAGCUUGUUGGUGGGGUAGUGGCUUACCAAGGCGUUGACGGGUAGCCGGCCUGAGAGGGCGACCGGCCACAUUGGGACUGAGAGACGGCCCAGACUCCGACGGGAGGCAGCAGUGGGGAAUAUUGCACAAUGGGCGGAAGCCGGAUGCAGCAACGCCGCGUGCGGGAUGACGGCCUUCGGGUUGUAAACCGCUUUCAGCAGGGGCGAAGCUUGUGGUGACGGUACCUGCAGAAGAAGCACCGGCUAACUACGUG